rnacentral:misc_RNA from 1 species
GUUCAGUCUGGAAAAUGUGCCUACGUGUAAGUUUAUCAGCUUGGGCCUUACUGUUGGAGCCAUUGCUGCUGUUCUCCCUCACAAGGACCUUGUAGUUUCUAUCCUCUUCCGUCUUUCCCUCAACCAUAACCAGGUGCUUUUCUGUUUGCAUUAUGGGUUAUCAGAUUUGCAAUUUUUCUUUUUACCUCGCUUCCUGGCUUGCAUGAGUG